UGCCACGACGGUUCAGCCGUUUUGGGCGGCGAGGUGGCUGCUGUCGGAUCCGAAGGACCGCUGUAGUCGUCGUCGCUGUCCGAAAUGCGGUGCACUCUUUCGUGGUACGCGUCAGCGUCGGUUCGCAGCGGGCGAUAAGGCCUUGUGGAAGGUAGCUAGGGGCUUGCCCCUAGUGUUAUAGACGCAGGAGCUGGGCUCGCUACGGACCGAGGAGAGAGAGUAUCGUUGCAGCGCAUGCCGCAAGGCUAGCUACCUGCCGUCUGUCUCGCUUCACGGACUGAGGACUGCACGCAGUGCUCGGACUGGCGGAGUGGUCCGGCGGUGGAGUGGUAUAAA
rnacentral:rRNA from 1 species